rnacentral:lncRNA from 1 species
UUUCACUUAUUGGUUGCUCAUGGCUUAGAACAACAGUGACUUGUUAUUCCCCCCAGUCCUGUGGGUUGACUGGGCCAUUCUUUGCUGGUUCCACCUGAGCUCAUUCAGAGAUGGACUGGCCUCAGCUGGGAUGCCUGGCCCUCUCUUUCCAUGAGGCCUUUCAUCCUCAAGGAGGCUACACCUGGUUGGGCUUCCUUCUAAGAUGGUGGCAGCAUUUCUGGAGAGCACACACUUAUUAAGCUUCUGCUUGCCUCAAUGUGCUAAGUCACAUUGCCAAACCCAGAGUCAAGGUGGGACUGUAUGUGGGUGUGGAUAUCAGAAGACGUGGUUUAUUAGGGGCAGUUAAUGUAACAAGCUACCACUCUGGCUGCUCUCUUGAGAAGAGACUUGAUGAAACGAAUGGCAGAGCAAGGAGGCCAAUUAAAGGGCUAUAUAGUAAUCCAGGUGGAACCUAAGCAGUUUGAUGAUGGACAGUGCAUGAGAUGUGGAAGAGAGGGGAGUUAAGGAGGACCCCCGGAUGUUUGCCUCCAGCACGGAGUUGCUAUAUACUGAGAAGGCUCCAUCCUCCGGAUUUAACAGGGCUCCCUUGGCCAUACAUAGUAUGUAUUUCACAUCCUCUCAAUCUGUUGCGAUGUUUUACCGCGUGCAUUUCACGGCGGAUCCUGAUUGUAAAUGGGUUGUAGAAACUUCAUUGGCUUCCUGUUUGUGACAUUUCUGAUGGAUGGUCCCUAUUUAUAGAGAACAGCGUGGCGUGUGCAAAGUUACACGGCUCCACGCCAUGCUUAAUGGAUUGGAAGGAGAGAGCUGGCGCUCCCACUGUGAAGAGAAUCAUCUGCUUCCUUUUCGUGCAGCAGUCAGAAAUGGCCGGUGAUGGAACCCAGGCUGUGAAAGGCCUGUGAGGCUGAGUCCAGUCCUGGCUCUUCCACACAGCUUCUGGGUUCCUGCAGAACUCAGUCCCAGGAAUAAUGCGGGGGCUUGCAGUGUUAAGGGCAUGGCUGCUGGGGUACACCAACAGAUGUGGAGCCCGCCCUGGGUCAUUUGGCGGUGUGUGUCCAGGUGUUUUGAGGAUUAAAGGAGUUCAUGUAUGUAAAGCAGGAUGCUCAGCACUGGACUCAUAGUUCUGCCACCUGUGUUAAUUCUCAUCAAAUAUCUAAGUGAAAAAUAUGCUAGGGGGAAUGGAUUGACAUGUGAAAGUGUAGACAUUGGGCUAUUGAGUAAGAGUUUCACAGAGAUGCUAUAAGGGCAUAGAGGUUAAGGAAGAAACCCUCACAGAUGGUAAGCUCCCCAGCUCUGGAAGUGUUGCUGAAGAAAGCAUGGAGAAGAUUCAGAUAUCAGAUUGGGAGUUGGAUAGAUGACUUUUCAGGUUACUGAUCAACUGGUGAUUUUCUGAUUUUAAAAGAAAACUUUUGCACGUUAACCAGUAUUUUAGUCAUUUCGUGUAUAGAAGCUAUUUUUAUUAACUUUUUCUGCUGAUGAGACAUUUUGUGGAGAAUGAAUCAGCUACUUGUGCGAAUAUGCCAUUUAUUUGGAAGACGUCACACAAAUUUGCUCUGUUCUUUAUUUUUAAGAAUUUUCUAUCUAAAAAAUUUUUUCCUUAUUAAAUCAGGAAAAUUUUGUUAGUUUCUGGUUAAAGUUCUCCUAACAUAAUUAAGCAAUGCAUUAAAUGCAGCAAUAUUGACACAGUCAUCCAAUCUGUAUUUGCUGAACGUCUACUAUCAACCAGCCAGUGUGCCGCCCCUCUUCUUGCUUACAGUAUUCUGGGGACAUGAUAAUUAAUACAAUUGUUCUUGAUGUUAUUAUGCACAGAAUCAUCAGAGUUGCUUGAUAAAAAGGAUUGUCAAGCUCCUCCACCAGUUCUGAUUCAGUAAGUCUGAGUGGGGCCGAAGAUAUGUUAUUACAAAUAGCCUGGAUGACUCCGAGGUGGGAGGGCCAUCACAGACCGCAGAGUGAGAGAUGCUGGGGUAGAGGAAAUAUCAAGCUAACUGGAGUCCGAUGGCUCAGUUCUAAUCUGGGCUCUGCCACUUACCAGUUAUAUGACCUGUUUUAUAAUCAACCUCUCCCAUCUAGUAUGUGCUCCAGAAAUAUUUGUUGGGUCAAUGAGCUUACCUCUGUUUCCUUAUCUUUAAUGUCAAGAUUUUUUUAAAAACCCACCUUCCCUGAAUGUUACGAGUCCUAAAUGAAGUAGGGGAUAAAAUGCACCUUGACAUGUAUUUGUGGCUCAAGAAAGGUGACUCCUCUGUUUGCUGCAAGUUGAUUUCAUAGGUAUGUUGUGUUUGGAGCCAGAAAUAAUAGAGGAUUUCUGGCAUUAAUCAGAGUCAGAGAAGCUGUGCUUAGCUCUUUGCCUUUUGAGAUGGUCAAAGAUGACCUUUGUUACACAGACACAUCAAUAAUGUCCAUUAUAGCCUUGAAGCAAGUGACGCAUCACAAUUAAAGCCACAGAAACCACCAUCUCUGUAAUAACAUAAGUUGUUCAGUGUGAAGAUUAUUCUUGGUAGAGUGGAUGUAAGAAUUGCCUCAUUGCCCCCGCUGUAGGUUGUAUUUAUGACUUUUAGGCCAAGGUUUUAUUUCUCUGUAAAAAUCUCAUAUAUUUAACAAAUUAGGAUUUGUCGAGUAACUGAUUGGGCAAUAAAACUACUUCCACUAUUAAUGGUAACACACAUUCUGGAGAUACGAACAAAGACCUGCUGGCUAUAGUUUAAGAUUAAGAUAAAUUUUUUACAACGGGCAAUUGGAAAAUAUACAAUUGUAAGUAAAGUAUAUUACUUUGAACUUCUCAGAGCAAAGAUAUUCUGCAAAUGUGAAGUAUAAAUAUUUGAAAAUGUUGUUAUGAUACAAAAAGCCUCUGGUGGAAGCUCUCUAGUGUUGUGGAAAGCAGAUUAAAAUGUAUAAAGCCUGCU